AUUGAACGCUGGCGGCAGGCCUAACACAUGCAAGUCGAGCGGAGCGGCGGACGGGUGAGUAAUGCCUAGGAAUCUGCCUGGUAGUGGGGGAUAAAGUCCGGAAAAGGGCGCUUAUACCGCAUACUAUCAGAUGAGCCUAGGUCGGAUUAGCUAGUUGGUGGGGUAAAGGCUUACCAAGGCGACGAUCCGUAACUGGGCUGAGAGGAUGAUCAGUCACACUGGAACUGAGACACGGCCCAGACUCCUACGGGAGGCAGCAGUGGGGAAUAUUGGGCAAUGGGCGAAAGCCUGAGCCAGCAAUGCCGCGUGUGUGAAGAAGGUCUUCGGAUGGUAAAGCACUUUAAGUUGGGAGGCGUUACCAACAGAAUAAGCACCGGCUAACUACGUGCCAGCAGCCGCGGUAAUUC
rnacentral:rRNA from 1 species